rnacentral:rRNA from 1 species
AUUGAACGCUGGCGGCAUGCUUUCCACAUGCAAGUCGAACGGUAACAGGCCGCAAGGUGCUGACGAGUGGCGAACGGGUGAGUAAUGCAUCGGAACGUGCCCAGGCGUAGGGGAUAACUGCUCGAAAGAGCAGCUAAUACCGCAUACGAUCUAUGGAUGAAAGCGGGGGACCGUAAGGCCUCGCGCGCUUGGAGCGGCCGACGUCAGAUUAGGUAGUUGGUGGGGUAAAGGCUCACCAAGCCAACGAUCUGUAGCUGGUCUGAGAGGACGACCAGCCACACUGGGACUGAGACACGGCCCAGACUCCUACGGGAGGCAGCAGUGGGGAAUUUUGGACAAUGGGGGCAACCCUGAUCCAGCAAUGCCGCGUGCAGGAAGAAGGCCUUCGGGUUGUAAACUGCUUUUGUACGGAACGAAACGGUCUGGGUUAAUACCCUGGGCUAAUGACGGUACCGUAAGAAUGAGCACCGGCUAACUACGUGCCAGCCGCCGCCGUAACAC